rnacentral:pre_miRNA from 1 species
UCUCAAUCCCUGAGACCCUAACUUGUGAUGUUUGGCGUUUAAAAUCCACGGGUUAGGCUCUUGGGAGCUGCG